AGCAGCCGCGGUAAUUCCAGCUCCAAUAGCGUAUAUUAAAGUUGUUGCAGUUAAAAAAGCUCGUAGUUGAAUUUCGGGAUUGACGUGAUGGUCGUGCCUUAAGGGGUAUGAACUGUCGCAGUUGAUUUCUCACCUUCUGGAGAAGCAUGAUGUCCUUAAUUGGGUGUCAUGUGGAACCAGGACCUUUACCUUUGAAAAAAAUUAGAGUGUUUAAAGCAGGCAUUUUUGCUCGAAUACAUUAGCAUGGAAUAAUAGAAUAGGACGGCAUGGUUCUAUUUUGUUGGUUUCUAGGAUCACCGUAAUGAUUAAUAGGGAUAGUUGGGGGCAUUAGUAUUCAAUUGUCAGAGGUGAAAUUCUUGGAUUUAUUGAAGACUAACUACUGGGAAAGCAUUUGCCAAGGAUGUUUUCAUUAAUCAAGAACGAAAGUUAGGGGAUCGAAGACGAUCAGAUACCGUCGUAGUCUUAACCAUAAACUAUGCCGACUAGGGAUCGGAUGAUGUUAAUUUUUUUCAAUGACUCA
rnacentral:rRNA from 1 species